rnacentral:rRNA from 1 species
UACGUAGGGUGCGAGCGUUGUCCGGAAUUACUGGGCGUAAAGAGCUCGUAGGUGGUUUGUCGCGUUUGUUCGUGAAAACUCACAGCUUAACUGUGGGCGUGCGGGCGAUACGGGCAGACUGGAGUACUGCAGGGGAGACUGGAAUUCCUGGUGUAGCGGUGGAAUGCGCAGAUAUCAGGAGGAACACCGGUGGCGAAGGCGGGUCUCUGGGCAGUAACUGACGCUGAGACGCGAAAGCGUGGGGAGCAAACAGG